GUUUUAAAACACUGAUGAAUUCCCUAUGAAAUCCACUUCCAGAUGAUAUUACCAAAAGACAAGAAAAAGUCUUUUCAAAAGGAAUUCAGAAAGAGUCCUUUGGCACUCUUCUUUGAUUCUCUUAUUAUAUCUUCUCCUUCUUAGCUUUGUUUUCACGUUGUGGACUUGUGGCCUCUAUGCAAAUGAACCAAAUCUUGUUUUACCUGCCCACAAAAAUGAAUAAACUGCCAACUCGUUCCUCUCUUACCACCUUUUUCCCUUGUGUAUAAGAAGUUGUCAUGGCAAUCCCUUACACAUAUCAUCCCUUUGACUUCAAUCUUCACCCUUUACUGAGGACACACUCUUUUCUCUUGCAAGUUUCUUCCCUUCUGUGGAGUCUUUCACUUUUGUCUCCAUCUCUUUCCAUACACUGAAAUCCUCUGAAUUCUUACAUCUGCUCUCUAAUAGAAAUGGCAUCAAGCUCUAUCACUUCUUUGCGUAGUUCUAGCUUGUCAUGGACACCCAAGCAAAACAAGCAGUUCGCGGAGGCUUUAGCCUAUUUUGACAAGGACACCCGAGAUCGCUGGCAAAAUGCAGCCAGGGCUGUGGGUGGAAAAUUAGCGAUCUUUCUGAAGGACAUCAUGCAAAUAGAAUCUGACCAAGUCCCUCUGCCCCGUUACAGGUCUGGUGGGAACAAUGGUAGAGCCAUUUAUAAUGCCCAGCGGUAGUGUUAUGCAGGCCAAUGAAGAAUCUAAAGCUCCAAUAAAGUUAAAGAUGCAACUAUGAUACAUAAUAGAUGGAUUUAAUUACAAGAGCAAAUGCAUAAAUCUGUAAAGAGCAUUGAUUGGAAGUGGUUAUAGACUACUGUUCCCUCUUUGUUCUAUUUUCUCAUUGUUGGUACAUCAACAAUUGGUGCGACAAAGAAGCAGCCGAAAACCUAUGUGUAACUAUUUGUCAUUUUAACUUAUCGCAUUGUUGUUUACCCAAAAAAAAAAGAAACCAUGUCCGUAUUGAAAUAGAUUCUCUUAUUCGAGACGAUAUUUAUAGUGCUCCUAA